GGUUCCUCCAAGUGGGGUGCACUACAGUUCUGCAACCAACAGGGUGAACCCAGAAACCAGGCAAGGGAAAUCCCCACUGCAGACAUCCCAUGGAGUCUUGGAGAAAGAAGCCUCCAGGGGGCUCUGGCCGUGUUAGAGUUGAAAGUGUAAACCCUCAAAUGAGGCAGCCUUGGAGGGAGACCCCUGGAAAGGGAGCAUCUUGCUUCCCAGAGCCAGAGUGAGGGGAAUGAGUAUCUGGGCAUAAAACAGCUCACAGGUCUAAGAGUUGUCUAUUCAUAUAUCGUCUUUAUCUACAUAAGGUUUUCUCUUCGCUGAUUGGAUAUCUUUCCAUAAACUUGCAUUUAGAGCACUGAUUGACUUUCCAGCCCCAGCCUAUCUGGAGAAGAUACUCCCGGGGAAUGGGAGAGAAGAUAAUAAACCUGAGAGCCGCAUGGAACCGUUCGCUUGUCCAGGCAUAAACCAGUGGAGACGGUGCUCUGCACUCUGUGAACUCUGAUUUCCUUGCUUGAUGUGUGACCUUGGACACUUGCCAGGGCCCUUCCUCCCCAGCAAGUGGCAGCUGGGGCUGUAAAUGGAACUGUGGCUACAAAGCUGAAGCCUCAUGGUUGUCUGGAAUAAGAAGUCCAUCGCUAGUCCUGUGGCAGCUCCGACUUCAGGCUACUGGGAGGUGAGGAAAGGAGAGACCUAGGAAGAUUGCACUUUCCUGACAACUUUGGCAGCUGGUAGCAGGGCCAGAGGGCUUCACCUGGUCAAGGAAAUGUGAGCAGACGUGAUUUAUCAUUUCCAGUUCUUUGCAGCCAAUCUCUUAACUCAAGCAAAGGCCCCACAGGCAAAAGUAUCCCAUGAUGCCAUCCAAAACUCCUUCCUCAAGCAACAGGGACUGCCAGCAAGAUUGCGCGUGACUGACCCCAAGACAAUGAUCCACCUGACUUUUACUGCCCACCUACACAUAGUCACCAAGCCCUGUCCUACAUUUUCUUUAUAUGAACCAAGAAGUAUUUUCAGCACUUUGGAGACCAUUUUUGAAGAAAUAUUAGUCUGCUGCUGUCUUCCUAGUGUUGGCCUCACUGAAAUAAAUCCCUUUCUUCUUUCA